AACUGUGGCUGUAGCCUCUGACUGCUUUGUUCUGUUUGACUGGAGGUGGGAGAGUUGACAUCUCAGCUGGCAGCCUCCCGAGAGUCCCAGGAAAUGACUGUCCAGAGAGCCCAGCAAGAUGUGAGGGAGGCCCAGGAAGAGUCCAGGCAGAAGCUGGUAGAGGUUGAACACACCCAGAAGAUGCUGGAGGAGGCAGAACAUCAGAACAAGGAGCUGCAAGUGCAUCUGCAGAACUUGGAGAUGGAAUGGAGUCGAUGGGAAGAAGUGGCUCAGCAAAAUUCAGAACUGCGGGCUUCCGUGAAUGCCCUAGAGAGUGAAAAAGCCAGGCUGACUCUGUCUCUGGAAGAAAAGGAUCUGAGCCUCAGAACCCUGGAAGAAAACAACCUGGCCCAGAUCAGUCAGGUGUCUCAGCUUCAUUCUGCCCUUACCCAGGCCGAGGAGCUCCACUCAGAGCAUAGAAGAGAAAUGCAGGAGCGCAACACCCAGGUAAGCUGUGCAGUGGCAUCCUCUUCUCCAGGGACACACAGCAGCACCUUUGGCUCCGAGGCCCCAACCUCUUUCCCCUCCCAGCAGCAUCCACAGCUGCCGUGUUCUGCCCGGGGCUGCUGCUGCGCCCUGAGGCCGAGGCUGGAUCUGGUGUCUCCUGCCGGAGUUUUGCACCCUUCUCUCCCAGGUCCCAGCAGGAAAUCUGGGAGGGGAAGCAGCAGCAGACUCCUCUGGAGCUUCUCUGUCCCUCUGUUAGCAGUGUUGUCCCAGACAGAGUUGCUGCCUGUGCAGACACUGAGCAAUGUGGGGACACAGAGGUGGCUGUGGCAGGCUGGGCAGGGCACUUCCAGCACAGCCAUCUCAGGCAGCUGCUGUUCAGAGCUGCAGCCUCAAGGAUGCCCAUUGCCUCCCUUUCCCUCUUUUCUCUAAAUUUGUCUCCAUUGGAAUCCUUGCUUCCGGGCCUUCUGGUUUUGGCAUGUUUUUUGCCUGAAAUAAUUUCUCCUUCCUUGCUCUCCCUACUGCCCCCUCUGCGGCCUCAGGAGCAGCCCUGUCCCUGAGGCUCUGUGCAUCCAUCUUCCAGAUCUGGGCCCUGCAGGACGCAGUGCUGCAGAUGGAAGCUUCCAAGGCAACUCGAGAGAAGCAGCUGCUGGAGGAACUGGAGGAGUCUCGAGCAGGAGAAUGUGCUUUGAGGGACUCUGUGGAUGUGCUGGAGGCUGAGGUGUCCGAGUUGCGUGUGAGGCUCCAGAGCUCUGAGAACAGAGCAGAGGCCUUGGCCAUACAGUGUCAACAGGCCAGUGGUGCCCACCAGGAAACUCAAUCCCAGCUGGACAAACUGCUGUUGGUUCUCCACCAUAUGAUUAGGGACAGCAGAAACUUGGUCACUUGGAGCUCAGGCAAGUGUGGGAGGCUCGGUGAGCAGGUGUGGGAGAGCAGGUGGAGUGAGGGGGUGUUCUUGGUCACCCUGGUAUCACACACUCACCCUGUCCGUUUAGGCUGACUCAGGCCUUGGGAAGUCUUGACAGUUUGACUUUCCUGUAGAGACACAAGUCCAUGUUUGUAUGUAGAGAAAUGAUCAGAGUCAAAAAAGAGAAGGGACCAAGUCCUGUCAAGCCCAUGCAAGGGCCAAGUCCAUGUCAAGCCCAGGGUCCAUGCAGUUGUCUCUAAGGCAAUGCUGACAUUAGUGGUCAUCAGAAUAAUGUCAGCCUGGACACACAUCCUACUGCAAGGUGAGCCCUAGGACAAUGACAAAGGCACCUCCUCCUAGGUAGAGAGGCCUUGUUUUUUCGAGACCACUGGAUUAAAUCUUGAAACAGAACAUCUUCUCUUUUCAGAAGAGGGUCAUGUCAUGGGUCUAACUCCUUCUCAGGAUGGAGAUGUCCCUGCAGAGCUCACAGUGGACAGAGUGGCAGCAGCUCUGCAAGACCUGCGG
ensembl:lncRNA